CUUGCUUUGGUCUGGACUAGAAAUAGUUUGGGCCAGAGGUUUACUAAACUAAACUUCAAUAUUUAUAUUGAAUUGUUAUUUAUUUUAAUUGUCAAUUUGUUGAUUAAAUUCAAAAAAUCUU
rnacentral:rRNA from 1 species